GAUGAACGCUGGCGGCGUGCCUAAUACAUGCAAGUCGAGCGAACAGACGAGGAGCUUGCUCCUCUGACGUUAGCGGCGGACGGGUGAGUAACACGUGGAUAACCUACCUAUAAGACUGGGAUAACUUCGGGAAACCGGAGCUAAUACCGGAUAAUAUAUUGAACCGCAUGGUUCAAUAGUGAAAGACGGUUUUGCUGUCACUUAUAGAUGGAUCCGCGCCGCAUUAGCUAGUUGGUAAGGUAACGGCUUACCAAGGCAACGAUGCGUAGCCGACCUGAGAGGGUGGUCGGCCACCCUGGAACUGAGACGCGGUCCAGACUCCUACGGGAGGAAGCAGUAGAGAAUCUUCCGCAAUGGGCGAAAGCCUGACGGAGCAACGCCGCGUGAGUGAUGAAGGUCUUCGGAUCGUAGAGCUCUGUUAUUAGGGAGGAACAAAUGUGUAAGUAACUAUGCACGUCUUGACGGUACCUAAUCAGAAAGCCACGGCUAACUACGUG
rnacentral:rRNA from 1 species